rnacentral:rRNA from 1 species
GACGAACGCUGGCGGCGUGCUUAACACAUGCAAGUCGAACGGAAAGGCCCUGCUUUUGUGGGGUGCUCGAGUGGCGAACGGGUGAGUAACACGUGAGUAACCUGCCCUUGACUUUGGGAUAACUUCAGGAAACUGGGGCUAAUACCGGAUAGGAGCUCCUGCUGCAUGGUGGGGGUUGGAAAGUUUCGGCGGUUGGGGAUGGACUCGCGGCUUAUCAGCUUGUUGGUGGGGUAGUGGCUUACCAAGGCUUUGACGGGUAGCCGGCCUGAGAGGGUGACCGGCUACAUGGGAAGGGAGGAACGGCCAAGAGUGGGAGGGGAGGAGGGAGUGGGGAAUGGGGAGAAAGGGGCGGAGGGCGGGGGGAGCGACGCGGGGUGGCGGAUGGCAGCCUUCGGGUUGGACACCGCACGCGCCCGUGACGAAGCGUGAGUGACGGUAAGGGGAAAAGAAGCACCGGAAAACGACGCCCCAGCAGCCGCGAUAAGAGAACAGAAGAACACACAUCUCAAC